AUUUCUUUUUUUUUCUUAUAUAUGUUCUUGUAUUUAAGAUUUUUUGAAAUAUUAAAUAUGAUGAUUAAAGCAGUCAAAUGCACUCAAGCUAUCAUGCUUCCAACAACCACUAUUUUUAGAAGAUUAGGACACGAUGGUCCAGGAUCUACUUUGCCAUUUCAAAUAAAGAAUAAAAAUCGAUUAUUGUUCUCUAUGGCUGCUUAUAUGGGUAUUGGAUUUGCUAUUCCCUUCGUUGCUGUUCGAUAUCAGUUGUAUAAGAAAUCUGUCAACUAAAAAGUUGUACAAGAAAUCUGUCGACUAAAGACAUUUGUUUGUAUUUACAUUGAGAAUUUUAAAAAUAUUGCUCCAAAAAUCUAUUUUA